GAUGAACGCUGGCGGCGUGCCUAAUACAUGCAAGUCGAGCGAACGGACGAGAAGCUUGCUUCUCUGAUGUUAGCGGCGGACGGGGGAGUAACACGUGGAUAACCUACCUAUAAGACUGGGAUAACUUCGGGAAACCGUAGCUAAUACCGGAUAAUAUUUUGAACCGCAUGGUUCAAAAGUGAAAGACGGUCUUGCUGUCACUUAUAGAUGGAUCCGCGCUGCAUUAGCUAGUUGGUAAGGUAACGGCCUACCAAGGCGACGAUGCCUAGCUGACCUGAGAGGAUGAACGGCCCCACUGGAACUGAGACAAGGUCCAGACUCAUACGGGAGGCAGCAGUGGGGAAUAUUGGACAAUGGGCGCAAGCCUGAUCCAGCAAUACCGCGUGGGUGAAGAAGGCCUUCGGGUUGUAAAGCACUUUUGUUGGGAAAGAAAAGCAGCAGGUUAAUAACCCGCUGUUAUGACGGUACCCAAAGAAUAAGCACCGGCUAACUUCGUG
rnacentral:rRNA from 1 species